rnacentral:lncRNA from 1 species
AAAUGACUAAGGAAAGUCCUGGAAAGAAGGUUUAACAGUACAGAAUAAAGUAAGAGAAGUGUUUGGAAAUGCAUUGUUAAGAACAGCUCUUAAAGCUCCAUGUUAAGUAUUAGAAAGAUGAGAAUUACUUUGUUAUUUCUUAGCAUUGCCGCAUGACAAAGGCAUUCAGUUUCUACCCUGUUGACCAAGAAUCAUCUGCUACUCCAUCGAGAAUGUUGCUAUCUACUGAAAGCACUUUGUAUCUGAAAAGAAAUAGUGAGUGGAGGUAAUAAAGUAUUCACUUUCACUCCACUGAGUUGGUGAAAACUGAUCAGGUCUCUGUUUAUCAGCUGACAAACAUAAUUGCAGCUUAAAAAUCAACUGUAGCCACUUGAGAAUUGGCAGCUCUUCCAGUUUAAGAUGUUUGUUAAAGCUGCUAAUGCUGUGAUAAUACAAGAAAAGUUAUAUAAAUGUCAUUGGGUUUGUUCUUAAAUAAAAAUAACAGCCAUCUAUAGUUGUUCUUCCUUGUUUCUUCCUUGUAAAGAAAUGGCAUUGCAAUGUGGAAGUGGAGCUGGAGUAGUGAAGCUGGCCUCCCACCUCUUUCUUUUUGUUUGAAACUAUGAGAAAAGAAAAGAUAGGGCCCACACCUGGCCAUGGCAGGGGUCCGUGUGGAGGUGUGGUUACCUUUCAACAUCCUCAAAGGCAUCUAAUUGUUCAGGACAUACUGAGUAUCUGCACUUACAGAAAUCAAGCCUCAAGUGGAACUCCCCUGAAAGCAAGGCACCAGGAAGCCAAGAUUAGUUUUCAGAAAAAAAAUCUCAGAGCACUUUCUGCUUAUUAAAGAAUGGAAUGCCUCAGAACACUCUUGGGAUAUACUACAGAAAGUUACCAUCACAGAUGGCUUCCUGCAAUACAAAGAAGGCUCCUGGCAAGGCGGUUUGCUGGAUAACAUUCGAAUUGGAUGUGAUGGAAGUAUAACCUUACAGAAACACUCAUUCACCAGCAUUUAUUUCAUUGUGUUCAGUAGCUACUUUUGCACUGGCACUGCUUUCCUCAUUCUGCACUCACAUACUAAUUUCUCUUGCAUGAAUCUUGCCUAACAGUUGUCUGCAACUGGGUGGUCUCUGUGAGAAGUGGUAAU